CCUGGGGAAGUUGUCCCUGGAUCCCGGGACCCUGGUAGUGGCGGGCUCCACAGGCUCCCGGGAGGGGAGGUGUGGAUAGUGACCUGUGCUCGCACACAGGCUUCUUGGUGGCAGCAGCAACAGCCUUAGCGUCUCAUGCCCGUCUCUGGGGUCUGCGCUUAUGGCCAUGGCUCGCGCCUUUCUCUGGAGCUCCUUUAAGCGGCACUCUGAAUCCCCUCUCCUCGCGCACCAGGAAACAAAGAGCUUUCAUCACUGGAAAAAAGACCUUGAAUCGAAGACCAUGUGAUUAAAUGUCAAGAAAUUUCACUUCAAGUUUUAAGUUACAGGUGUCUCCCCCACAGUAUAAUUUAUCUAUAUGUUGAUAGUGGAUGCUGACUUGUUCUUCAGUUUGCCUGGCUUGUGGAGGGUGAUUUUACCUCUCUGCAACUACUGUUGAAGUGUCUUCAGUUGGUGACAUUUCUAAUUUCAAGCACCUUGGAUCAAGUAAUUUGAUGGAAAGAGAA